ACUCCUACGGGAGGCAGCAGUAGGGAAUAUUGGACAAUGGGUGCGAGCCUGAUCCAGCCAUGCCGCGUGCAGGAAGACGGCCUUCUGGGUUGUAAACUGCUUUUGCCAGGGGAUAAAAAGUCCCUGCGGGGAAAAUUGAAGGUACCUGGUGAAUAAGCCACGGCUAACUACGUGCCAGCAGCCGCGGUAAUA
rnacentral:rRNA from 1 species